GACGAACCGUGCGAACGUUGUUCGGAUUCACUGGGCUUAAAGGGCGCGUAGGCGGUCGACCCAGUCGGGGGUGAAAUCUUUCGGCUCAACCGGAAAAGUGCCCCCGAUACUGGUCGGCUAGAGGGAGAUAGGGGCAUGUGGAACUUCCGGUGGAGCGGUGAAAUGCGUAGAUAUCGUAAGGAAGACCAGUGGCGAAGGCGGGUCUCUGGACAGUUCCUGACGCUGAGGCACGAAGGUCAGGGGAGCAAACGGG
rnacentral:rRNA from 1 species